CCGGCUCCGGGUCCGCGUUGGGGCCGGAGCGUCCCGCACGCCGGUCUCCUCAGUGGACGCGUCUUGGCCACGCCGCCGCCGCGCGACGGGGAGACCGGUUUCUGGUGACCAUGAGGGGCUGGCUGGGACCCUGCUCACUCCAGAGUCUGCAGACGGGAUCUUGGAAGAACUGGCCAAAGUCCAUGAAAGGCUGGAAUUCUUGCCGCGGCCAGCUGUCUCACAUCUUCGUGUAGUGCCUGGUCUACGCCAGAGAGAAAACGGUAAGCGCUUAUCUUUGUCCCUUCUGUUCCAAAUUCAGACUAGCAGGGGGGAAACGGUUGUAGAAACUAGAUGUUUGAAUUGUGACUCUUGUGGAUUUGAUUCUGGGCAGCCAUUUGUUGACCCUUUGCCUCCAGGGACUCCCCCACACUCUUGCUGUCCUGGUCCUCCUGUGUGUCUCAUCUCUCGCCCUGAAAGCUUGGCGUGGCUUUCCACCACGGGGCGUGCAGGUUAUACACUUGUGUGUGUAGGGCUCAGUUGUCAGGCUGGGGUCCCCAGGAGCGUGGCUGGACACAACUGUGAGUUGCACCCCAUUUGUGGCUAAUCCCGCCCC
rnacentral:lncRNA from 1 species